GAAGGCCCCCCUCUAGCGACCCCUAGUGGAAGCUUCCUCCGCCGGUCGCCUCCAGCGGCUCCCUUCAGCACAACCACAAAUUUUACGCCCCUCUCGAAAUCGGUUCUGCUUGUUCAUUUAGCAACCUCCUCUUUGCAUAUGUUUUAACUGUUGUUAUUUUCAAUUUUGGGUAAAUCUAUUGAUAAAGAAUUUACAAUGAGGAAAUUAAUGUUGUC
rnacentral:lncRNA from 1 species